GUUGAACUUCAACAUUAUUACCAAACCCUAAUCAGUAAAGGGAAUUUAUUGAGUGUUUGGAGAUACAAAUAUGAUGAUGGAAUUUUAUGAGGUGUUUUGAGUAAUUUUCAAUAUUGUAUUAUUAACCAGUUUAAUUCAAUCCUAGUUUGUCUCUAGUCAUAGUAGGAAAGUUUCUUUUCCAUCCACAUUUAUUUGUUGAUGUAAUAUCCCCCCCAGAAUUGAUGCAAAGUCCUAGAAGUUUGGUCAAUACUUGAAAACAAAAUAAAUAAACCUAUAGAUUCUGACAGCUAUGGAUACCUUAGCUCAAAAAAUUAUUUCUGUGAUCCUUUCCCUCCACAAUAUUUUGUGGUGAUGUAUUUCAGAGCUUAAUUUCUUCAGAGCCUCCCUCACAGCCAGAGGAGAAAAGAAAAAAUGCAAGUCAUUGUUCUGAAAGCUUAAAAAACCUAGGACUUUGAUCUGAAAAAGAAAAAUUGCAAAGAUGGUGCACAGAGUUCUCCAGAAUCUUGCCUGGUGUGGGCCAGGUAGGAAGCGCAGUGCCUCGUAGAUCAACAGGUAGCCUGACACCUCAGAGCACUGACCUUGGAGUAGGAGACCAAUGUGAAUGGUUAAUGCUGCUGUCCAUCAGCCUCCUGCCUCCGUUUGUUUCCUCAUCUG
rnacentral:lncRNA from 1 species